GGUUCUAUGGUGUAGUGGUUAGCACUCUGGACUUUGAAUCCAGCGACCUGAGUUCGACUAUUGGUGGGACCU
rfam:Brassica napus, WGS project CCCW01000000 data, contig: 2364